CAAUAUCUUCCCUUCUGGUGCAGUAUUAGAGCAAAUCUUACCACUUCUGUUAGCUAGGUGCUUAUUGGGAGAUAACAGCUUCGCCUGACCGUCUCAUGGAGGACCAGUUCAAGUUCAAGUCAGAGUAAUUGCAAUGGCGGCGCUGACUCUGCAAGCUAAAACAGGAGCAGCAAGCAGUAAUUGCAUCCACUUGGUUACUGGAGUGAGAGGCUUGGAGUCUGAAUUCAGUGGUGAUCUGGGAAGCCCGAGUGUUCCAUGCACAGGCCGAUCCCACGACCCCUGAGGAUGUCGGCACCGAUGGGAACGCAUCGCAGCCCUCCCCAGCAGCAGUCCCCACAGGGGCGCUCCCUGUGCACCUCAGAGGAGCCAAUGCUGUAAAUCCCAUCCUGGUGGUCUGUUGUCACACCUUGCCCCUGGGAUGAGGGUCUGUGAGAGGAUGCUGGAGCCCUGAUCCUGACACAGCGGUAACUGCACUGCAGGACAUGCUGAGCCCCGGAAAUUUGGGCUGGAAGGGCUCUUUGGGACUCUGCUCAGAGGCACUUGCAAGAUUCACAGACUGAUUGGAGGACAGCCCACCUCUGACCAUCUCUGUGUUUAUAAAUCCUGUUUGGACUAACGUGAUAUUCAGGGGAACGCAGGUCUUGACCACACACACUGUCAGUACAGGACCUUGGACUUGAACUUUGUGCCUCGGACUUCAGCUUUGUGAGCCCUCAGACAGCCCUUCUGCAGCUGCAUCAGGCCACACACAGUCACAGCUCUCAGCUGGGAGACGACAGGCACAAAGCUGGCACUGGCUCUGUGAUUACUUCUCUGCAAAGUCAAACAGGUGAGCAUACGCUGCUGGUGGCCUAAGUGCUUUUGUUUGCCUUAACACUGGCCUUGAGCAGCAGUUAAGUGCAGCUGGCACUGGCCUCAGGAGGCAUCAAUCACCUGCUGCUCCUCAUAAGCUUUUCUAUACUGCAUAAGAAGCCAUGUUCUUGCUCUAGUAGUCCCAGAGAGCUGUGGAGACAGCACAGAAGCAGCAUGAAACUGUCUUUCUGAUUUUAUAUCAUUGGUAAGCUGUGUUGCAAAGGCUGGCAUUGCUCAAGAGUCACACACAGCACAAACUCGGUAUGACGUUGCAGAACAUUGGUGUCCUGCUCUCCUGGGCUCCUUUUAUAAUACCAACUAGAGAGAUUUUCCAGGACAAAUGGAAAUUUGGUCCUUGAAUUUGUGAUUAUGUAUACAAACAGGCCUCAGGCAUGCGGAAUUUGGCCUAUUUGACCAAUGCUCUGAGGAUGCUCUGCUGCUUUUUCUCUAGAAAGCAAAGGCAGUUUUGUGCCCAACAGAAGACAGUUAUUCUUGAGUUUUUUUGUUGGUCUCCUCUGCUCCCUUCCUCUGCAAAGGGGUGUGAAGGGGUGGUGCAGCAUGUGGGUUUUAACUGGACACCAUCCCUUUAAUGUGGAGUUGUGUUUUUUUUUUUUUUUUUUUUUUUGCAGGGCCAAAAAUAAAUGCUAGUGAAGGAAUAAACAGACGUGAAAAGAAGGCUUGGACACUUAGAGGACAAGACUGCUUUGUGUUUCCCAAAGCAAUAAGCCUCUUCACAAGGAGGUUACUCUUUCAGAAAAACACGGGUCCUGUGACACUGCCAAGGUCAGUAGGUGCCCAGCAGAGCAGGGAGCAUUCAAGGCAGACAUGGUUUGGGAAAGGGGCAUAUUUGCUCCCAUUGAAAGAGAGGAGAGAGGAGAGAAAUUUACAUUGCUCUGCCAUUUCAGCUCUUUCUACAGGGUUUGAACACGCACCAGUUUGGCAGCAGAAGGCAGCUUCCACCUAUCUCAGAUGGCAACGUAGCCCCAGCACUGUGGCUGUAUCACUCGCAUGCUGGCUUGGGAAGAGGGCAGUGCUGCUGCAGUUCUGCAGCUGAGGAGGCAGGUAAAGAGAGGACGUGCAUCACAUGCAGAGUCCCGGCAGUAAGGCCUGGAUUUUUCAAGGUGCUUUGCAUUUUUCAGAAGUCCCUUGUGGACGUGGCUCUCUUCUUGUGCUGGUGCUGUACGAGCACUCUAAGCUAGGCCUCUGCUACCUGUCGGCGUGUCUCGGACCGGUCAGCUGCAGUCUGGAUGGGCUUUGCUUUCUGCAGGAAAUAGGCAGAAUUCAAAGCAAAUAGCUUGGUACAGACACCUUGCUUUCUGGUAAGCAAAAUUGGUUAGCAAAGUGCUGCAGUGAUCUCAGUGGGGGUAGGAAGCUUUGGACUUCACUUUAGGGACUUAACUCAUUCUCCAUCCAGUGCAGUAUCUUUUGAAAUGUGACUUUUUAGGCUCUUUAUUGUCUCAGUUGGCUACAGAAUGAAAAUGCUGGGUAAUAUUGAGCAAUGAUAAGAUGAUACAGAGUCUGUCUCCUGCACAAAGGGAAGUGCAGUUCUUUCGCUGUCUCUAAAGCACCAAGUUGUGAGUCAGCCAAAGCAUCUGAGGACUCUGGGUAAGAAACAUGAGCUUUUAAAGGCACCUCAUUAGGACUGAAUCUUCAGCACCGUCUGUAGUGACACACCAAAACAUACUCAUCUCAAAGAGAGCAAAUGUUGAGAAGUUAAGGGAGCUAAUUAGUGGAAUCAGCUGCACUGCAGAUCUGAGGAAUUGAAUGUGAUGGAACUUGGAUUCCAAAACCAGCUGAAACAUGCAGGAAGAUGAACCCUGACAGGAAAUGCUCCAACCCCAGUGGGAUAAAUAACCAGCCCCAAACACGUGGAGAGCAUUAACUGACAUGCAGAAGUUCUGAUUGGCAUGAGGGUAUUCUGCUGGCAUGCAGCUAGGGAUUGAAAUCAGAUGUCUGGAGAGGAACUGCUACAGAAUACGAUGCUCUGCUCUGCUCUGCUCUUUGAUGGAGGCCAUCACUCUUAUCACAGGGCUGACAAAGCAGCUUACCCUGCAGGUCCUGAACAGCCACCACUCCAGUGACGUGUUCAGUGCAGCAGUUCUGGACCUGCCUUAUGAGUUACUGCCACUGCCACAAGGAUGGCAUUGGAGAAGAGUGGUGGAGCAGAAGACUGAAGGCAGUAUUUGCCUCAGUCAUCCAAUUUGAAGCUGCUGGGAUGGGAAAGGCAGAGACAGGAUGAAAAAUGUCAAAAGUGAACUUGUGAAUUGGACUUGAAAAGGAAAUUAGAACAGAUGGCAGAGGGUUUCAGUUAGAGAAAUAAAAAGAGGAGAAACGUGGUCAUUAUGGAGUGAGAAUGGGGUUGAGAUUAAGACCCAUCCACAUAUGGUCUAAAAAUGAAUUAAAAACACUUUGUCCACAUUUUCAGUAGAGAUGAUCGUAUUGAGCAGCGUGACAAAGACAAGAUUUCUAGUGGGAAUAUACAUAAGGGAAUGAAAAUUAUCACAUGUAAGGUGGAAGGAAAAGCAUGAAGAAUUCGGUGUGCUCAGGUGAAGGUGCACUGGCAGAUUUCCAUCCCAGGAUUUGGCACAUUAAAUGAGUUCAGCUUAACCUGAUAUUUCUCUUUGAUGACUGAUUAUUUUUUUAGGCAAAUGAAAUACAGGUGAUUUACUCUAUCCAGACUUGAGCGAAGAAUCUGAUAUUAUACCACAGGGGAAAUUACUCGUUGAAGUUGAGAUGAUGGGGAUUAGUGUGGAUGGUGAAUGCAAACCUGUUAAAGUGCAGAGGAAAGGGGAGCUCUGAGCAGAGAAGAAAUGCCAGACAGAGGCAGUCAGUAAGUGGAACUCCUCAGGAGUCAGUGUUGAGCUCACUCUUGCUUCUUUCAUUAACGAGUCUGGCACAGCAGUAGGAAUGUAGUAAAGAAAUCUGCUGAGGACACGGGCUUUGUUAAUACAGAGGAUGAUCGGAACAUCAAUCAGCAAUGAGUGAAUGACAGAAUUCAUCUGAAAUAGAAUAGAGAAAGUAUUAAGACAUGCAUUUAGAAAUUAAUAACUAGAAUAUCAUAUUACUCACUUGAAGAUGACAAAGGCAGGGGGGUGGAAAAAAAACCACAGAGAAUAAUUCGCUCCCAGGGAUGACUGUGAGCCACCAAUCUGAUAUGGAGAAGCAAACACAAUCCUAGAAGGUACAGGUUCACUCAUGUUCGAGGAAGAUUAGCAGGUACAGAGAAGGGCAUUGAGGAUGAUCAGAGGGUUUGGAACAAGAGGAGACUAGAAGAGUUUCAUUUGUUUAGUUUUUCAAAACAAAGGCUAGAGGAGAUAGGAUUGUUUUCAGUAAAUAUAUCUGAUAGGUAAAGAUCAGAGAAAAAAGAGAAUUGUUUAAACUACAUUAUGAUGCUGGCACAAGAACAAAUGAUAUUAAGGCUGAAAAUUUUAAAUGAAGUGCUGGGACAACCUGCCAAAAAGCACGAUAUGAUGUAAUUGAAUGUAACAGUAGGAGGCUGGAUCAGUAAUCCAGAGCCCUGUGUUCCUAGAUAACUUCUUUUUUGGGAAGGGAAUUAGCCACAGCAGCUAAAUGCAGGGAAUGGAAAGAACAGCCCGGACCAACACCACAAAGGUGUUCCCAGUGAUGGAGCAGUGCGGUGUGUGGUGCCUAUAUGGAGUGGUUUCUUUCUUAGUAAGAAGACCAGGCCGCAGUGUGUGCUGCUGUACAGCUAAGUGCCAGCUGUACCAGAAAAGCAGUGUCACUAAAACAUUUCGCUGUGGGUUUGAGCUCUUGCUUUUUACCCACAGUGUGACCGUCUUUCACCUCCCAAACCUAAAUAUACAUGGCUGAAAGCACACCUUCAGGAAUGGCUGUCCCAGCACUGCCAGUGGCUCGCAGGCUGUGCAGAGGCUGGAAGCAGGCAGUGUGCUCGGCUCCCCGCUCUGUCCCCUGGAGCUUUCCUUUUCUGAUGCCCUGUUAGGCAGAAUGCCCACUCACGGGGAAUAAUGCAGUACCUCUUUGAAGAGAAGCAGUAAAAAGGCUUUUGGCAAAGCGGCCUCUAACCGGCACCUCUUAAAUGAAGCUGGCUGACAUACACGCAUGCUGCAGUGAUGCCCCUGCAGUGGGAAGAGCCCCCUGACCUCAGGGCACGGGACCUGCUGGUCCUGCAGCCCCUCUGGUGCAGGGGCUGAGCAGCAGCUGGUGCCGGGGGCUGGGCUGCUCUGCUCUCCCACAGGUCUGCACCAGGUGCCCCACGCUGCUCAUCCGAGGGCAAGAAAAUGCAGCUGGCCAGAGUCCUUGGGUUUGGAAGCAGCCCCACCAGCUAACGGGAGGGCCUUCCCUUUUCCUCCCCCCAAGAGAACUGGCAAAUUCAGCUCUUCAAUGGCACGAGCUCAUCUCAGCCUUGCCUAUAAAUAGAUAAAUGAGAUUCCUCCAGUCCCAGUGAGCAAUUCUGACAUCCUCCCUUUGCCUCGCAGAGAGCUGAGUCACAGGCACUCUGCACUCCAGUCCCUGCAUUACUUACAUGGUCUCAAAGGAAAUUUUAACACAUCCAAUGAAUCAUCAGGGAUUGGAUCAUGUUUAAAGUUAUUCCAGUGGCAUUUCCCUUCUAUUGUAGCAAGUCUGCCAACACCUAAAACUUUAGCUAAUCUGGACUCAAAAUGCAUUGAGGAAAUAGCAUGUUGACAUACACAGCUACUAAUACAAAUAACUUAAAAAGUUCUCUUAAAUCUGCAUCAACAAAUAAAUGACCCUUAGUGGGUUCCUUUAGCACUUCGGUCCUGCUAAUUUUGUCAGACUGCUUUGUUUUGUAGCUGCUUAUUUAAAAGAACUCAAAAGUUGGAAAUGUUUUAAUAUUCAGUCUUUAGGUCCCUAAUUUAAUCUCCUGCAGGUUUCCUGCCAAAGUAUUAUUUGCACUGAGAUGGAGCUUGCAGCCCUGUGCUCGGCCUUUCACAGAAAUGCACAUGUUCCUGUUCUUACCCACGAUAAAAAUAAAAUGCCUGCAAAGCAAGGACAAAACCAGAGUGGUGUUAAGUAUAAAACACACAGAGUUAUCUGCCGGCUGCACGAGGCUCUGAGCUCCAGCAUGAAGCUGUAUCUCCUGAUGGGGCACUGGCACUUGUUACCCUUCCUUCUCCCACCCGGGACAGUGUAGUCUGAUUGGCUUAAAGCAACACAGCAUCUGCAAUCAGAGGAGGUCUCCUUCUGCCUCAGAAACAACUGAAGAGUGCAAAACUCUCCAGCAGAAUUUGGGAGCUGUGAAACAAAUAGAAACACAUUUCUCUCUGUUGGUUUUCUGGCUUGCCUUGCUGUAUCUUAGAACUUGUUGGGACUUUCCACUCAUCCAGAAUCCGGUUACCAGACUCUCCAUUUGAAUGAACAAGAAAUGCUAACAUUGGCUGGCUUGCUGCUGUGCUUUAGUACUCUGAGACCUGAAACCUGGCUGGUUCUUUUGAUAACCCUAGGAAUGCUGUGUCUUAUUCAAAUCACAUCUUUCUAACACCUUUUCAUAAAGCAACUCUCUGCCUGUGUGUAGACUGUUAACAAGCAUUUGUGCAACACAUUCCAGCAUGAGCUGCAGUCUCUCCAUGAGAUGAUGUGGCUCCUACACUGAGGCUCACUGGUUUAUUUAUCAGCUUAGCACAGCACAGCUUUGCUUGACAGUGUUCUGCCAGCUGUUACUAUACAAUAGCACUGGGAAAGAAGAUCAGUUUUGGCUCUCAGUGGAAUUGGCCAUAAUUCAGCUACCUGUUGACAAAUUAUGAUUUAUUUAACAGCAUAAACUGUAAUAUUUGUAUAGCUGAUAGUUUUCACCCUUCCCUGCAGCUGGAAAAAAAAAAAAAAAAAAAAGAAGAGGAACUCCCAGAAGUUCCUCACUUGAAACUGAAGUUUGAUUGUAGUAACGCCUUGUACUGCUGUUUCUGUGCAGGAAAAAUGACAUCUCUAAUGGACAAAUCAGUGGUGUCUGUGUGAUGCUGGAAGAGGGCAGGUGCGUUGAUAGGGAUCACACAGCUUCUUGCUUGGCCUCCUUCCUGCAGCAGUAAUCUUUGCCAUGUAGUGAAGGGAUGGAGGAUGGCUGGUGGGGCCUCCCGAGUGGGGCUGUGCUCUGAGCUGCCAUGGGGACAAGGUGCAGUCCAGGCCUCCAAGUUCCCCGUAAUGCAGCAUGCAGGAUGUGACCUCAGGAGUGCUGGGGGUCCUGCUAAGGAGAGCCGCCUUCACAGAAGGCAAACGAGGUGAAGACACUGCACUGGCUAAAUGAGGAAACAGUCUGCGGCUUCGUACGCAGGGCCAGUCUCAGAAAUCAAAGGCAUCAAAGCAGAAAGUCCUGAACCAAACCACUCCAAAAGCAGCGGCCUGCAAGGCAGCCCUGAGCAGCACGGGUUUCUUUGCUCCCAGCCCAUCCAUAGCUGACAGAAGGGUGCCUUUCUUGUGCCCUUUACCUCCCUUACCUAGUCACACAGCCGCUGGGACCAGGAUUGGCUUUUAGGGCUUGCUUACACAGAGCAGUUGACUAUUCUGCAAUAGCUGCUGCAGGAUGACUUCAUGUGAACGCGCUCAUUCCGCAGCGGCUGUUGGAGCUCCUGAUUCAUACCAUACCUUAACUGGAGUCGCGUCAGCAAGUCAGCGUGCAUUACAAAGUUAAGCAAGACCUGGGACCCAGUCUGGGGUUUCUAGUCACUUCUCCUUUACAUAGAAUUCAGCUCUAACAGAAGCAGUUGAAAUGUUCCUGAGAAUGACAAAUAACAAAUGAGUAAUUCUUGCUCCAGAGCCACGUAGCCCAAUUAAAAAUAGGUAAGUGAUGUGCAAAGGCAAGUCUGUGCAGUCCGGGGAGAGAGAAGGGAAAAAAAGAAAAAUAGGCAUGCAUUUCUAAUCUAUUGGCACAGCCACGUGAAGCAGAAUUCAUUGAUAAACAUACCAAUUAAUUGGUACACAAAGCCCUUUCAAAAAGGUAAUGACUAAAGCAACCAGACGCUGGGAAAAGGACAGUUACUGUUGUGGAGCCAGCUUAAUUUGGUUAUCCAUCUCCCUUGGUAGAGUUAUUAAAGGGGGAAAAGCUUUGAACACUGUUGUAGGGUUCAGUGAAAAUAAAAACGCAACACAUACAAGCUCUCAGAAAUGCAAACAAGGUGUUAGAAUGCAUGAUGGAGGAUAAUUGAAUAUUACAGUUCUGUUUAACAAAUUGCUUCUCUUUGUGCAAUUACUGCAUCUCCGUCUGCCCUAAGCAGGAAAGAAGCUCAGAAUGAGGCGAUGGGGAUGAGCAGAGAGCUGCGAUGACUGAGAGCAGUUCAGCAGGAAGAGGAGGAAAGCAGGGAGUUAGCAAGGAGAGGGCAGUUCCCAGCGUAAUGAAAGGCAUUAAGUCUAAAACCACCAACGCUUUCCCAAACAUGAAAAUUGAAUACUGAGAGAGAAAAGAAAAAAAAAAAAAAAAAAAAGAAAGAAAUGCAGAUGCAAUAAUGUAAGAAGCUAGCACACAUCACUGUCCUGGAAUCUGAGAAAACAAGCUUUUUAAAUACUUCUGACUGAAAGCAUUUAUGGCAGCGCAGCCCUGGGAUGUUAGAGGAAAGGACAUGAGCAGGAGCAUUGCAGGAUGGAGCCCUUCUGUCGGCAGGCACACAGCUGUGCAGGACAGGGGCGCAGUGACAGGCAGGCGCUGCCUGGUGGGGCAGUCGGUGCUCCCUGCUGCCCAGCACGCUGGUGAUGCUGCACGGCCACCUUCCCACAUCCCGUGACUGUCCUGCAACCAGUGGAGUAAUUUCUAAUGCUAAGUAAAGGACCGGUGGCUCGGGGUGCACCCCCCCCUGCUCCCCAACACCUUGCUCUUAACCAGCCACGCUCCUGCUGGAGUGCUGCGGUCAGGGGUCGUGUCUCCAGGGUUGGUUUGAGAACGUCUCUGGCUGCAUUUUGAUGUGAUAGCCAGAAAUGAGAGACAGAUACAAGAGGGAGGGAAAGUGCUUGGUUUCUUUCAUUUCUCUCACUUUGCCUUCCAGUUCUCAUGCCCUGAGAUUCAUGCAACAGUGCACUCUCCAUACCACAAUUAACAGUGAAUCUUUUCCAAUCCACUCUGACAGAAACUCCUCCCCCAGCCUGUAACACCACUCCAGCUUGCAAGCAAGCCUUCCCAAAGGCAGACCUGCCCUACCGUGCUCGCCCUGCGCCCAGCACUCGUGCUUACCUUCCAGGCCUCCCUGUGCCGGAGGUCACAGUUGACCAUUGCAAGAACAAUAAGGAUUUUUAGGGGCAUUAUGACUGGGUUAGUAAAACACAGCUGCCCCUGAAAGUCCCUCAUUUUUCUUGCUGCCGCUCAGUCCCCUCCACGUCCCUAGGAGGGCAGAGGUCUGAUGGGCUCCUUUCGCUCCAGCAUGGCUCUGCCACCUCAUGCUGGCUUUGCUGAUCUGCCAGCAGCAGCCCAGCCGUGCUGACCGGCCGUGACACAGGCAGUGGAGGUCCAGAACUGCUUUGUCAUCACUGCAGGCUCCCUCCUAAGCAAACGCUGCGCUGCACUUCAGCAUAACGCCAGAUGGCUCGUCUGUCACUCGGCAGAAAUGCCAUCAGACAGAGUGCACCUCACCGUAAGCAACCCUCAAACGCCCCCCAAAUCACCAGGGCAAAAUGAAGCAAUGGCCUGUCCUGCCAGCACUCAGUGCACCGCACUUUGCCCAUUAAACACAGGGAUCCCAGCGCCGGUGAGCACCUGCUGUGUGUGCACUGUGACGCAGCCCCGCGGCGGUGGGAGGGGGUCACAGCGCCCGCCCAGCUGCACGAGCAGUUGUUCUUGAUUUAUUAAUAAAGCUGGGGGUUCAAUUAGGUAAUUGCCACUGAUUUCUCAACCGCUUUCAGUUUAUGAGAUUUUUAAGAGCUAUAUUUUUCCUACUAAAAAGGUGCCAAGUGGUUGGCUGGGAAUUUUCAACCUCAUUUACAAAUCCUCUUGGAAUUCCCAGCCCAACCCAGCAUGUUCAUAGGGCAAGGAGCAGCACUUUUCUUUUAACUCCUUGGUAAUUUGAAUGUUGAUGGCAGUGGACUCAACAAAAUCCAUAGGCAGAUUCCCAUGGGUGCUCCUGCCCUGCUGUUUCCCUGAGCUCGCUGUGGGGUGCUGGAUGGGCACACCAGCCCCAUGCAUGCUGUGGGAAGCCCCGUGGGCUGGGCAAGCACUCUGCCCUUGAGGACAGAGCUCUGGGAGCUGCUCUGGGGCUCCCGGGGCCUUUGGAGCAGAGCAGGGAACCACUGAGGACUCGCAGCACUAUUUUUUUUCUCCCCCUCUUGCAUUAAAAAUGCCCUGCCCCUCAACGAAGAACCCAUUCCCAGCAGUUACAGGUUAGGACAAACACGACACUGUCUCCAUAACCCACAAAGUGUGCUACGAGCAGCCAUCUCACACGGCUCGGGUGCCCCUGUCCGGGGCAGGCCCAGGCGCUCUGCAGGGCUCACUUGCGCUGUGUUACAUCCAGCCUCAGAACAAUGGGGCUGAGCUGCAGAGCUGCGCCGUGUUUGGAGUUGCUGCCGUUCAAACAUGCCAUCUCCAGGGACACGGACGGGGCCGGCGCAGCUGUUCUGCAUGCAAUGGGAAUGCUGAGGUUCGGGCAGCCCAAGGUCCCGGCCACGUGCAGCACAAGAUGAAUGUCCUCACCUGUCUCACCAGCGAAUGAUGCUCCAUGGCAGCAGCCAGCCUGGCACACAGCAAAUGCCUCAGCCCCUCUCAUUGCUGUACGAAGCCACACCUAAUUUUCAUUUAGAAUUUCUUCUAACGCUGGGAAGUUAAAUGAAAGCAACCAUUAUGCCCUGAUUUGGUAAUAAAACACGAGCUGUGAUUCUGAUCCAAACAUUAUUUGCAUCUUUAAAAAAAUAGAAAUGUAACAGCAGUAUCUUAAUAAAAAAAAAAAAGGAGGAGCCCCCUGAAUGCUGAUGACGUUGGUGUCCUAAAUGAAGCAUAAAAGCCAGAUCCUGUGAGAUGCAAAGCAUGAGUCAGAGUGUCAGCAGCCCCACACUGCAAGCAGCGCUGCUGCUUCAUUCGUUUAAGGAAUCAAUUCCUUUGCCAUGAGCACCAAGUAGUUUCUACGACUAAAAUUAAAAUGAGAUGCGUGCCGUUAUUAUUUUCAAAAGGUUCUUUUCUUUUUU
ensembl:lncRNA